rnacentral:lncRNA from 1 species
CAUUUUCUUUCUCAAAUUCAUGUCAUUUACUGCAUUCCUUUUCUUUAUCAAAUCCUAAUCGCAAAAAUUAAAAAUUUUAAAUUUAUAUUAUAAUAAUUCGUUGGAUUAAAUUACCGGCCCAAAAUAUUUAAACCUAUUUAUUAUUACUAGCAUGUUGGCCUCAUAUAUUCUAGUUAGAAUCAAUUUUUCAGCUGAUGUGGGACUAUUGAGAUGUUAUAUUAGAUGUAAGAUAUACAUCCCACCAUUUCAAAAUCUCAUCUUUUGUUUCUAACAUAAUCAACUAAUCAACAUUUUUUUUAAUAUACAUACUAAACAUUAUUUAGGUUUUUGUAAUCCUUUGCAGGGUGUNGUGAGACUAUUGGGAUGUUAUAUUAGAUGUAAGAUAUAAAUCCCACCAAUUCAAAAUCUCAUCUUUUGUUUCUAACAUAAUCAACGAAUCAACUUUUUUUUUUUUAAUAUACAUAAUAAACGUUAUUUAGGUUUUUGUAAUCCUUUGCAGGGUGUACAGAUAGUAUUUUUCUGCUUCUUUUCUCAUAAAAAUAAAGAAUUGCAAUUUUACAAAUAUAUACACCCCACCAUUUUGAAAACCCAUCUUUUGCUUCUAACAAAAGUC